UAAGUUGGACGUGAAAGCUCCUGGCUCAACUAGGAGAGGUCGUUCAAAACUGCCUGGCUAGAGGGCGACAGAGGGAGGUGGAAUUCCCGGUGUAGUGGUGAAAUGCGUAGAUAUCGGGAGGAACACCAGUGGCGAAGGCGGCCUCCUGGGUCGCUCCUGACGCUCAGACGCGAAAGCUAGGGGAGCAAACGGGAUUAGAUACCCCGGUAGUCCUAGCUGUAAACGAUGUGGACUUGGCGUUGGUGGGGUCAAAUCCAUCAGUGCCGGAGCUAACGCGAUAAGUCCACCGCCUGGGGACUACGACCGCAAGGUUAAAACUCAAAGGAAUU
rnacentral:rRNA from 1 species